UACGUAGGGCGCAAGCGUUAUCCGGAAUUAUUGGGCGUAAAGAGCUCGUAGGCGGUUUGUCGCGUCUGCCGUGAAAGUCCGGGGCUCAACUCCGGAUCUGCGGUGGGUACGGGCAGACUAGAGUGAUGUAGGGGAGACUGGAAUUCCUGGUGUAGCGGUGAAAUGCGCAGAUAUCGGGAGGAACACCGGUGGCGAAGGCGGCUCUCUGGGCCUGUCCUGACGCUCAUGCGCGAAAGCUAGGGGAGCAAACAGG
rnacentral:rRNA from 1 species